GAUUUGAUAUCUUAUCAACAGACUCCUAGACAGAGAAACGGUUCCUAGCUCUUAGACAGAUAAAGUAUGUGAGCUGAGUAUGUAUGGCUUUUGGAAAACAUAAACGGCAAAGCUCUCUUGAACGUGAUCCUCGAAAUGCCUGACUAUUUUGAAGUCUUUGAGCAAUGAGGAAACAAUUAGUCCAAGGUAUUGUAAUAAUCUUAGAGGGGGAAGUGCACCUUACUUUUUGAAAAUCUUGAUGGGUAUCAAGGACUACCAAAACUAGCCGCAUUAUGUGAAGAGAGGACAGGUGUGAGACCACAACACACAUACACAGAUUUGUUGGAAUUUUCCAUCCCUGGAAAUUUCUUUGCUAUCAGUGAGGACCCCAUCACAAGAAGAGAAAUUCAUAAACAUCUUCAGAGAUUAGCUGGGGCAGUUUGCAGUGAGUAUAAGAAGGCAAAGGGUGGAAGGUAAAGUCUGGAACUGAGCAAAAAGUCUUAGAGGUUUCACAUCUAUGAAGGACAGACACUUGACCUAGUGGAAUUAAGAAAGCAGAAUGAACUUCUGGGGUGGAAAGAAAAUUACAGUGAUUUAGAGUCAGAACUAAAAAAACUUCAUCAAGAGAUGUAGGUGGCAAUCCAAGAAAAAGAUGGAGCAAUUAAGAAUUUACAAACAAUCAAUUAAGAUCUCUCAAGUCAUCUAAGUUCACUUGGAAACCUUGCCUACAGAGGGAAAGACAUUUCCGAAGUAGCAAAGAAGUCAAGAACGUUGAAAGCCUUUUUGUCAAGGACACAGUCAGCCCUCUGGUUUGCCACAUCAUUUGGACUUCAAU